CUGAGUUCAAGCGAUUCUCAUGUCUCAGCCUCCUAAGAAGCUGGGAUUACAGGCGUGCGCCACCAUGCCUGGCUAAGAUUUGAUAAACUCUCUCUCACAUGCUGGCUUUGAGAAUUGAUUGAAAAGUUAAAAAAGAAUAAAGGAGCCGGGCGCGGUGACUUUACCUCUCAAAGCCUCAGUUUUCUUCUCUGUAAAAUGUAGAUACCACUGCAGCACACCUCAACAAACUGUUGGGAGGAUUAAUGAGGUGCUAUACUGGUAAAUGGAAACCACUGAACAGAAUCCCCAGCAUGUGCUGUUGCUGUUUCUUAUUUGGCAGGAGAAAUUGCCUGGGCAAAGGCUGGGAAGUAGGAUGUAAGAGAGAACAGCUAUUACUCAUUCCCUCUCUCACAUCUGCCAUCAUCUCUCACCUAGACAACAGUAACAGCCUCCUUCCUGAGCUCCCUGCUUUUGCCCUUGCCCUCCUCUAAUCUGUUAUCUAUCUAGUUACUGGUGAUCCUUAUUUAUUUGUUUGUUUGUUUAUUUAUUUAUUUUGAGAUGGAGUCUUA